rnacentral:rRNA from 1 species
ACCUCAGGUCAAGCGAGAUUACCUACUGACUUUAAGCAUAUCAAUAAGCAAAGGAAAAGAAACUUACUAGGAUUCCCCUAGUAGUGGCAAGUGAAUAAGAAAUAGCUUAGCUUGAGAAUCAUGUACCUUUGACAUCAAAAUUGUAGUCUGUAGAAGCAUCCUCAAUAGUAGACUGGGCCCAAGUACCCUAGACAAGGGCACUAGAAAGGUGAGAGCCCUAUUAUGCCUAGACCCUAUCAUACCAUAAGACGCUAUCUGAGAGUUGACUUAUUUGGGAAUGCAACCCCAAUCAGGGGGUAAAUUCCAUCCAAGUUUGAAUAUAGGCAAUAGACCAAUAGCGAACAAGUACUACAAAGGAAAGAUGAAAAAAACUUUGGAAAGAGAGUUAAAGAAUGCUUGAAAUUGUUAAAAGGGAAGUGGAUGGGGGCCUAUGAUGCACCCUGGUUGGAUGUGGAAUGGUGAGAGCCAAUUUGCCUAUUGGCUCAGGGUGAGGAUUGACGCAGGUUGUGACAAUGGUCCAAGCCUGGGCUUUCGAUAUGCCUAUAGAGACAUCAUCGCUAUGAUCAUGGAAUGCAAUAUGCAUCAUCUUAGCAUGCCUUAAUACCAGCAUGCUCCCUACAUAAGCCUAUGGGCUCCCCAUUAACUUGUCUUAAAACAUGGACCAAUAAGUCUAACGUGUGUGCAAGUCAAUGGGCUAGAAAACCUAUAAGGCAUAAGGAAGCUUAUUGAUAGGAUGCCUCGUAGGUGCACUGAUGACUGGAUUUGAUCUUCUAAGAAGGGUUUGAGCUUAAGCAUGCCUAUCGAGACCCAAAAAAUGGUGAACUAUGCCUAAGCGAGGCAAAGCCAAAGGAAACUUUAUGGAGGCCCAUAAUGAUACUGACGUGCAAAUCAUUUGUCUAACUUGGAUAUAAGGGUAAAAGACUAAUUGACCAUCUAGUAGCUAGUUCCUCUAAAGUUUCCCUCAAGAUAGCUAGAGCCAUUAAUGAGUUCUAUCAGGUCAAGCUAAUGAUUAAAGGCAUUGUGGUGCAAUGCCUUCGACCUAUUCUUAAACUAUAAAUAGGUAGGAUGGUGCGACUGUAUCAUGGAGUCAUGCCACAAAAUCAGGAGCUCCUAAUGGUCCAUUUUUGGUAAGCAAAACUACAGAUGCAAGAUGAACUAAAAGCCAAUUUAUGGUGCCCAACUGCAUGCUAACCUAGAACCCACAAAGGGUGUUGGUUCAUUAAAAUAGCAAAGUGGUGGUCAUGGAAGUCAAAAUCCACUAAAGAGAGUGUAAUGACUCACCUACCAAAUCAACUAGCCCCAAAAUUGGUUGGCAUUUAAGCACACGACCUAUACUUGGUCGUUGGUGUAGACCAGGCCUUGAUGAGUAGGAAGGCAAGGUGAUCACCAUAAAACCCAAGGCACAAGCCUAGGUGAAAUGGUUAUUAGUGUAGAUCUUGGUGGUAGUAGUGAAUAUUUAAUGAGAACUUUAAAGUUGAAGAGGGGAAAGGUUCUAUGUGAAUGGAACUUGCACAUGGGUUAGUCAAUCCUAAAAGCUAAGGAAAGCCCAUCCGAUAGUGUAUCCAGCAUGAACUUCGGAAGGGAAUUGAGUUAAAAUUCUUGAAUUGGGAAUACGAUGGCUGACAGCAAUGUUAGGGAGUUUGAAGACAUUAGUGAGGGCUUAAAAAAGAGUUAUCUUUUCUAUUUAAUGGCUUGCCCUCCUUGAAAAUAGCUCAAUUGGAGGUAGGGUCCCAUGGCCGGAAGAGCAUUGCACAUCACAUGUGUUCGGUGUGCCUUCAGUGGCCCUUCAAAAUUUGAAGUACUAAGUGUCGUCCGUGCUCAAUUGUACUCAUAACCAUAUCAAGUCUCCAAGGUGAAUACCUCUAGUUUGUGGAACAAUAUAGGCAAAAGAAAUUGGCAAAAUGGAUUCAUAACCUCAGGAAAAAGAUUGGCUCAAAGAUUGGGCAUGGGGAUCCCAGUCUUGAAAUCAUCGACUACCAGUGCACUACUUAAGCUACUAUUGUAGCUAGAGUGGGUCGCUACACGCCCAUUGGGGGACAACUAGGAAUGACUCUCUUGAGGGCCUUUCUUGAGCAAAGAGCAAUCGACUCAGAACUAGUAUGGAUAAGGGGAUUCAAACUGUUUAAUUAAAACAUAGCAUUGUCAUGGUUUUUGCGGAUGCUCAUGUAAUGUGAUUUCUAACCAAUGCUUUAAAUGUCACAGUGAAGAAAUUUAACCACAAGUUGGUAAAUAAUGGAAGUAACUAUGACUCUCUUAAGGUAUCCAAAUGCCUUGUCAUCAAUUAGUGACACGCUUGAAUGGAUUAAUGAGAUUCCCAUAUCUCUGUCUACUAUCCAGUAAAACCUAGCCAAAGAAAUGAGCUUGGUAGAAUCAGUGAGAAAGAAGACCCUAUUGAGUUUGACUCUAGUCUGACUUUGUGAAAUGACUUAAGAGGUGUAGGAGAAGUGGGAGCCCUUGGGAGAAAUUGAAAUGCCACUACUUUUAAUGUUAUUUUACUUAUUCCAUGAAUCAAAGGCAAGGCAUAACCCCUUUUUUGAGACCCAAGGCUGGCCUCAAUCAAUUGACAUGGGUGAAAGAUAUUGUCAAGUAGAGAGUUUGGUUAGGGUGGCACAUCUGUUAAAAGAUAAUAUAGGUGUCCUAAGAUGAGCUUAAUGAGAAUAGAAAUCUUAUGUGGAACAAAAGGGUAAAAGCUCAUUUGAUUUUGAUUUUUUGUACGAAUAUGAACCAUGAAAGCGUGGCUUAUCGAUCCUUUAGACCUUUAAAAUUUGAAGCUAGAGGUGUAAGAAAAGUUACCAUAAGGAUAACUAGCUUGUGGUAGCCAAGCAUUCAUAGCGAUGUUGCUUUUUGAUCCUUUGAUGUCAACUCUUCCUAUCAUUAUGAAUUAAAAUUCACCAAGUGUUGGAUUGUUCACCCACCAAUAGGGUAUGUGAGCUAGGUUUAGAUCAUUGUGAGAUAGUUAGUUUUACCCUACUGAUGGCAACAUCAUAAUAGUAAUUUAACCUAGUAUGAAAAGAAUCAUUGAUUCGCACAAUUGGUCAUUGCGCUUAGUUCAAAAGCCAGUGGCAUGAAGCUAAUGUGCAUUAGAUUAUGAAUGAAUGCCUAUAAGUCAAAAUUUGGGCUAGAAGUGAUGCAUGCACCUAUCGCCUGAUUGUUAACCAGUAGUAGGGGUCCAUGGCCCCUAUGGUCACAUGUUGUAGGUGCAUCCCCAUGAUGAACAAGCUGUAUAAGCCUCCUCAGAGCUCAAUUCCCACCGAGAGAUGUGUAGAAUCAUUUACAGAUGUAAAUACAUGAUA